rnacentral:rRNA from 1 species
GUUUUCGGACCCUAGAGCGGCGCACGGGUGAGUAACGCGUAUGCAACCUACCUUUUACAGGGGGAUAGCCCAGGGAAACUUGGAUUAAUACCCCAUGGCACUUAAAGAUCGCAUGGUUUUUAAGUUAAAGAUUUAUCGGUAAAAGAUGGGCAUGCGUGACAUUAGCUAGUUGGUAGGGUAACGGCCUACCAAGGCUUCGAUGUCUAGGGGUUCUGAGAGGAUGAUCCCCCACACUGGUACUGAGACACGGACCAGACUCCUACGGGAGGCAGCAGUGAGGAAUAUUGGUCAAUGGGCGCAAGCCUGAACCAGCCAUCCCGCGUGAAGGAUGAAUGUACUAUGUAUUGUAAACUUCUUUUCUGUCCCAAGAACGGGCGCUACGUGUAGCGUUGUGACGGUAGGACAGGAAUAAGCAUCGGCUAACUCCGUGCCAGCAGCCGCGGUAAUACGGAGGAUGCGAGCGUUAUCCGGAUUCAUUGGGUUUAAAGGGUGCGUAGGCGGUUUCUUAAGUCAGUGGUGAAAUCCUGCGGCUCAACCGUAGAACUGCCAUUGAUACUGAGCAACUUGAAUUUAGUUGAGGUAGGCGGAAUGAGUAGUGUAGCGGUGAAAUGCUUAGAUAUUACUCAGAACACCGAUUGCGAAGGCAGCUUACCAAGCUACGAUUGACGCUGAUGCACGAAAGCGUGGGGAGCGAACAGGAUUAGAUACCCUGGUAGUCCACGCCGUAAACGAUGUUCACUCGCUGUAUGCAAUACACCGUAUGCGGCCAAGCGAAAGUAUUAAGUGAACCACCUGGGGAGUACGUCGGCAACGGUGAAACUCAGAGGAAUUGACGGGGGCCCGCACAAGCGGAGGAACAUGUGGUUUAAUUCGAUGAUACGCGAGGAACCUUACCUGGGCUUAAAUGUAGGUUGCAUGAGUGAAACACUUCUUCCCUUCGGGGCUACUUAC